UUGUGGUUAAAAGGCUCGUAGUUGGAUUUCGGCGGGUAGUGAUUGGUUUGAAUUGAUUCAACACUGACUUUUUUACCCGUGUGUUUUGCCAGAAUCUUACGGGUGAUCUUUACCGAUUGUCCGUUGGAACUGGCAGGUUUACUUUGAAAAAAUUAGAGUGCUCAAAGCAAGCUUACUGCUUGAAUAGUUGCGCAUGGAAUAAUAGAAUAGGAAGUCGUUUCUAUUUUGUUGGUUUUCGGAAAUCGACUUAAUGAUUAAUAGGGAUAGUCGGGGGCAUUCGUAUUCAAACGACAGAGGUGAAAUUCUCCGAUUUGUUAAAGACUAACUUAUGCGAAAGCAUUUGCCAAGGAUGUUUUCAUUAAUCAAGAACGAAAGUUAGGGGAUCAAAGACGAUCAGAUACCCGUCCUAGUCUUAACCAUAAACUAUGCCGACUCGGGAUCGGAGGCCCGCAAUAUCGGCCUUCGGCCUCCGUAUGAGAAAAUAAGUCUUUGGGUUCUGGGGGGAGUAU
rnacentral:rRNA from 1 species